rnacentral:ncRNA from 2 species
CUAUAGCUUUUGGAAACUGGUUUUGCUUAGCCGCAAAUUAAAAGGGAAUCGUGUGAAAAUCACGAACUGUCGCGCAACUGUAAGUAACCGAAGUCUUUAUUAAAAAUCCACUGUGCAAGGCAUGGGAAGGAAAUAAGAUGUUACAAGUCAGGAGACCUGCCUUUUUCUUUAUACAAAA